CAAUAGCGUAUAUUAAAGUUGUUGCGGUUAAAAAGCUCGUAGUUGGAUUUCUGCUGAGGACGACCAGUCCGCCCUCUGGGUGAGUAUCUGGCUUGGGCCUUGGCAUCUUCUUGGGAGAACGUAGCUGCACUUGACUGUGUGGUGCGGUAUCCAGGGACUUUUACUUUUUUGAGGAAAAUUAGAGUGUUUCAAGCAGGCACACGCCUUGAAUACAUUAGCAUGGAAUAAUAAGAUAGGACCUUGGUUCUAUUUUUGUUGGUUUCUAGAGCUGAGGUAAUGAUUAAUAGGGAUAGUUGGGGGGCAUUCGUAUUUAACUGUCAGAGGUGAAAUUCUUGGAUUUGUUAAAGACAAAACUACUGC
rnacentral:rRNA from 1 species